UGAGGCACAGUGCUUGCUUUGGUAGUAUUGGAACAAUACAGGAAGAUUAGCAUGGCCCCUAAGCAAGGAUGACAUGGAAAUUCAUGAAGUAUUCCAUAUUUUU
rnacentral:snRNA from 1 species